rnacentral:rRNA from 1 species
UACGUAGGUGGCAAGCGUUGUCCGGAAUUACUGGGUGUAAAGCGCGUGUAGGCGGCAGACCAAGUCGGCGGUGAAAGCGCCCGGCUCAACUGGGCGAGGUCCGUGGAAACUGGUCAGCUGGAGGACGGUAGAGGCGAGUGGAAUUCCCGGUGUAGUGGUGAAAUGCGCAGAUAUCAGGAAGAACACCCGUGGCGAAGGCGGCUCUCUGGGACGGUACUGACGCUGAGACGCGAAAGCGUGGGGAGCGAACAGG